rnacentral:rRNA from 1 species
GCCCCAUCACUUAAUCCGAUUGGAAGGUGAUGAAAAGCAACCGCACUUAAACAAUGGUAAGAGGAGCGAAGCGAGUCAAACCACCCAAAAAAAGAAGCAGUGGGAUUAAGUGAUGGGGUGACUGCGUACCUUUUGUAUAAUGGGUCAGCGACUUAUAUUUUGUAGCGAGGUUAACCGAAUAGGGGAGCCGAAGGGAAACCGAGUCUUAACUGGG